UACGUAGGGACCAAGCGUUGUUCGGAUUUACUGGGCGUAAAGGGCGCGUAGGCGGCGCGGUAAGUCACUUGUGAAAUCUCUGAGCUUAACUCAGAACGGCCAAGUGAUACUGCAGUGCUAGAGUGUGGAAGGGGCAAUCGGAAUUCCUGGUGUAGCGGUGAAAUGCGUAGAUAUCAAGAGGAACACCUGAGGUGAAGACGGGUUGCUGGGCCAACACUGACGCUGAUGCGCGAAAGCCAGGGGAGCAAACGGG
rnacentral:rRNA from 1 species